UACAAUUCAAACAUCCAGAGAAUAAGUUUAAUUAAAAUUUGGCUAUACAUUUUUUAAAGAUAAAAAAACUAAAGAAAUGAGCUAAUUAUAUUGCUUAGUAUUCUGCUAUUUUUUUUUUAAUAACAUGCUUUUGUAGCCAGGCCAGUCCCUUGAGAACCAGUUCCUCAUUUAUAAGAAGGUCUCCAGUGGGAGUUAAAAAGAGGCUCUCUUAUAAGGAGAAUAUAUUUUGAAAGAGGAGCCAUAUAAAGAUAACCCUGCAUUGCAUAUAUCAGUAUGGAGGCUCAAAUAUUCCAGUGAGAUUUCCCCUGUGGUAUGUGUAACUUUUAUGCAAAUAUUAAGGAUUCACAUUUUCAGAGAACCUGAACUUCACUAACUUAAUAACAACACUGUUACAGCAAGACUUCUGUGAGAUCUCCUACCUUAGAAGCAUAGCCACUGCUAAGUCCCACCUUGGAGCUUCCCAUUUCCUACAGGAAGGAAGGAAUUAAAGCAAGGAUCCCUAGCAUAUUAGUA
rnacentral:lncRNA from 1 species